UACGUAGGGACCAAGCGUUGUUCGGAUUUACUGGGCGUAAAGGGCGCGUAGGCGGUAUGACAAGUCACUUGUGAAAUCUCCGGGCUUAACUCGGAACGGCCAAGUGAAACUGUCAAACUAGAGUGCGGAAGGGGCAAUCGGAAUUCUUGGUGUAGCGGUGAAAUGCGUAGAUAUCAAGAGGAACACCUGAGGUGAAGACGGGUUGCUGGGCCGACACUGACGCUGAUGCGCGAAAGCCAGGGAGCAAACGGG
rnacentral:rRNA from 1 species